UGAGGAAGGUGGUGUAGUUAAUAGCAGCAUGAUUUGACGUUAGCGACAGAAGAAGCACCGGCUAACUCCGUGCCAGCAGCCGCGGUAAUACGGAGGGUGCGAGCGUUAAUCGGAAUUACUGGGCGUAAAGCGCAUGCAGGUGGUUUGUUAAGUCAGAUGUGAAAGCCCGGGGCUCAACCUCGGAAUAGCAUUUGAAACUGGCAGACUAGAGUACUGUAGAGGGGGGUAGAAUUUCAGGUGUAGCGGUGAAAUGCGUAGAGAUCUGAAGGAAUACCGGUGGC
rnacentral:rRNA from 1 species